GUUCAAGAGUACGUGAAACCGUUCAGGGGUAAACGGGAGAAAUCCUGAAUUCGAAUGGGGCUGGAUUCAAGUCUAUCCGUUUGAUUACGGGCUCCUUCCCUCCGGAUGGCGCUGGACGCCCGCGGCGAUUCAUUUCGCUUGCGGUGUCGCUUUCGGCGAUCACUGGGUGGGUUGGCUGUUACCUGGCAACGGAAGGGUGCACUUCCCCCCUAGUAGAAACGUCGCGACCCGUUGGGUGCCGGUCUAAGGCCUGGGAUGGCAGACCAUGUGUCCUGUGAGGGCUCUCACAGGCGUGUGGACUCCUGGAGUCCCGGCCGGCUGCCCGACGGUAUGACCAGAGGAGUCGAUCCGCUAAAUGUGAAACACUGUGGUUGUGAAGCGUCCGGCCCGGUUCCGAUGCGUGCGGGGAAUGAGGUGAAAACCGGGGGUGCCUGUGCUGAGCACGGCCCCGGCCCCGCUGCGUCUUCGAUUCCGGUGUCCUCGGACUGGAUCGUCACUCCCGUCUGCGACGCCCACCUUCGGAUGGUCUCCG
rnacentral:rRNA from 1 species